rnacentral:snoRNA from 1 species
UUCGUGCACAUGAUGAUUACAUAGUUCAACCGAGAAACUAUCGUGUGGAUUCAUUUUUCUUUCGCUCCUAUCUGAACCACGAG